AAUACUUUUCCUCCAGUUAUCUACAAAAGGGCAGAUUAUUAUGAUUUAGAUAGCAUUUUUACGAAGAUCCUAAGAAAAUUUAUGUAGAGUGAAUUACGUUUUAUUUUAUCUUCACAAUUUGCCAAAACUCCUGAUCUAGAAGAUCCUGAAUCCAAUUUUAAAAUGAAACUAUUUUGGAUUAUUGCUUUGUGCGCUGCAGUCCUCUCUGUUGCCUUGACCAAGCCAUCAGGAUCUAAAAGGCUGACUAGAGAAUCCUCGAACGUGCACAGUGAUACUUUGACUGAUCCCAGAGUGGUGGUCAAAAGAUCGGUCAACAGCGAUAAUUGGAUGAAUCGGGUGCUGGGUGCAACUGAUUCUCAAAACCGAGGACUGUUAACUGGCAUAUUCCGAUUUGUUGGAGGUAUUUUGAAGUUUAUUGGGAAAAUUUUUUAACUCCAUGAUUUGAGUCAAAGUGUGAGGAUGACUGAUCAGAAGCAAUUAAUACAUUUUACAAUUGUAUAGUACAAUUUCUGAUAUUUAUAACUCGAAAUUUGUAUCAAUGAUUUCAUUGUAAAAAAAGCUAUUAAAAUCCUUUUUCUGUAAUAUAUUCAAUUUAAAUUAAUAAAAGAAGUUACAUUGUUGCAAUA